CGAAGGUAGCGAAAUCACUUGUCUCCUAAAUAGAGACCUGUAUGAAAGGCCCAAUGAGAAAGAAACUGUCUCUUGAAGUUAGCCAGUGAAACUGAUCUGCCCGUGCAAAAGCAGGCAUAACAAAACAAGACAAAAAGACCCUGUGAAACUUAAAAUAAACGCCAAUAACAUGUCGAUAUUUUUAGGUUGGGGCAACCAAAGAGAAACAAAACCUCUAAAAUACAUUAGACUAACAAGUCUAACCAAACCAACAUGACCCAGUAAAACUGAUUAAUGAACCAAGCUACUCCAGGGAUAACAGCGCCAAAUUCUUGAAGAGUCCACAUCAACAAGAAUCCCUACGACCUCGAUGUUGGAUCAGGAUAACCCAACAGCGCAAAAGCUGC
rnacentral:rRNA from 1 species